GAUGAACGCUGGCGGCGUGCCUAAUACAUGCAAGUCGAGCGAAUGGAUUAAGAGCUCGCUCUUAUGAAGUUAGCGGCGGACGGGUGAGUAACACGUGAGUAACCUGCCCAUAAGACUGGGAUAACUCCGGGAAACCGGGGCUAAUACCGGAUAACAUUUUGAACCGCAUGGUUCGAAAUUGAAAGGCGGCUUCGGCUGUCACUUAUGGAUCGACCCGCGUCGCAUUAGCUAGUUGGUGAGGUAACGUCUCGCCAAGGCAACGAUGCGUAGCCGAACUGAGAGGGUGAUCGGCCACACUGGGACUGGGAAACGGCCCAGACGCCUACGGGAGGCAGCAGUAGGGAAUCUUCCGCAAUGGACGAAAGUCUGACGGAGCAACGCCGCGUGAGUGAUGAAGGCUUUCGGGUCGUAAAACUCUGUUGUUAGGGAAGAACAAGUGCUAGUUGAAUAAGCUGGCACCUUGACGGUACCUAACCAGAAAGCCACGGCUAACUUCGUGCCAGCAGCCGCGGUAA
rnacentral:rRNA from 1 species